UAGAGGAAGUAAAAGUCGUAACAAGGUUUCCGUAGGUGAACCUGCGGAAGGAUCAUUAUUGAAUAAACUUGGUUGGGCUGUUGCUGGCUCCUUGGAGUAUGUGCACGCCUAGCGCCAUUUUUACCACCUGUGCACCUUUUGUAGACCCGGAUAUCUCUCGAGGAAACUCGGUUUGAGGACUGCAGUGCGAAAGCCAGCUUUCCUUGCAUUUCCGGGUCUAUGUUUUUAUAUACCCCAUAAGAAUGUAACAGAAUGUUGCUUUACUGGCCUUUUGUGCCUUUAAUCAAAUACAACUUUCAGCAACGGAUCUCUUGGCUCUCGCAUCGAUGAAGAACGCAGCGAAAUGCGAUAAGUAAUGUGAAUUGCAGAAUUCAGUGAAUCAUCGAAUCUUUGAACGCACCUGGCGCUCCCUGGUAUUCCGGGGAGCAUGUCUGUUUGAGUGUCAUUAAAUUCUCAACCUUUCCAACUUUUGCGAGCUUGGUCAGGCUUGGAUGUGGGGGUUGCGGGCUUCUCAGAAGUCGGCUCCCCUUAAAUGCAUUAGUGAAACCUUUGUUGGUCAUCUCUUGGUGUGAUAAUUAUCUACGCCAUUAGAGUGUCAGCCUCAACUCUGUUGAGAGGGUUCUGCUUCUAACCGUCCCCCUCUAGGGACAACUUCUGACCUUUUGACCUCAAAUCAGGCAAGACUACCCGCUGAACUUAAGCAUAUCAAUAA
rnacentral:rRNA from 1 species